AUUGAACGCUGGCGGCAGGCCUAACACAUUAAAGUCGAACGAGUGGCGGACGGGUGAGUAAUGACUGGGAAACUGCACGCUGGAGGGGGAUAACUACUGGAAACAGUAGCUAAUAACGCAUACAAUCGGCUUUGCACAGAUGGGAUUAGCUAGUUGGUGGGGUAAAGGCUCACCUAGUCGACGAUCCCUAGCUGGUCUGAGAGGAUGACCAGCCACACUGGAACUGAGACACGGUCCAGACUCCUACGGUAGGCAGCAGUGGGGAAUAUUGCACAAGGGGCGCAAGCCUGAUGCAGCCAUGCCGCGUGUAUGAAGAAGGCCUUCGGGUUGUAAAGUACUUUCAGCGAGGAGGCGUUACUCGCAGAAGAAGCACCGGCUAACUCCGUGCCAGCAGCCGCGGUAAUAC
rnacentral:rRNA from 1 species